rnacentral:rRNA from 1 species
AAGAACCCCGGGAGGGGAGUGAAAGAGAACCUGAAACCCUGCACUUACAAGCUGUAGGAGCACAUUAUUUGUGUGACUGCGUACUUUUUGUAGAACGGGCCAACGAGUUACGUUGUGUAGCAAGGUUAAGCACUUAAGGUGUGGAGCCGUAGCGAAAGCGAGUCUUAAAUGGGCGUCCAGUUACCCGACGUAGACCCGAAACCAGGCGACCUAUCCAUGAGCAGGUUGAAGCGAAAGUAAAAUUUCGUGGAGGACCGAACCCACGUACGUUGAAAAGUGCGGGGAUGACUUGUGGAUAGCGGUGAAAUUCCAAUCGAGCCUGGAGAUAGCUGGUUCUCCCCGAAAUAGCUUUAGGGCUAGCCUCAAGCUUAGAGAAACGGAGGUAGAGCACUGAAUGUCCUAGGGGGUAUUGCACUUACCGAAGACUAUCAAACUCCGAAUGCCGUAUUCUUUUGCUUGGGAGUCAGACUAUGGGUGAUAAGAUUCAUAGUCAAGAGGGCAACAGCCCAGAUCGUCAGCUAAGGUCCCUAAAUGUAAGUUAAGUGGUAAAGGAUGUGGAAUUGCACAGACAACCAGGAUGUUGGCUUAGAAGCAGCCACUCAUUUAAAGAGUGCGUAAUAGCUCACUGGUCGAGUGAUUCUGCGCCGAAAAUUUCCGGGGCUAAAACUUACUACCGAAGCUACGGCAUCAUUAUGAUGGGUAGGGGAGCUUUCUAUGCGGCUUGAAGCAUGACCGUAAGGACAUGUGGACUGCAUAGAAGUGAGAAUGUUGGCAUGAGUAGCGAGAUGUGGGUGAGAAUCCCACAGGCCGUAAACCCAAGGUUUCCAGGGGAAGGUUCGUCCGCCCUGGGUUAGUCAGGACCUAAGCCGAGGCCGAAAGGCGUAGGUGAUGGACAACAGGUUGAUAUUCCUGUACCACCAAUAACCGUUUGAGAAAUGGGAUGACACAGUAGGAUAAGCUAACCGCACUGUUGGUUAUGUGCGGGCAAGUAUUGAGGCAGUUCCGAUAGGCAAAUCCGUCGGAAUAAUGCUGGGGUACGAUGCGGAGCGAAAUUUAGUAGCGAAGUAGCUGAUUUCACACUGUCGAGAAAAGUCUCUAUCGAGGUUAAAGGUGCCUGUACCGCAAACCGACACAGGUGGGUGAGGAGAGUAUCCUAAGGCCAGCGAGAGAACUGUUGUUAAGGAACUCGGCAAAAUGACCCCGUAACUUAGGGAGAAGGGGUGCCUUCGAAAGAAGGCCGCAGAGAAUAGGCCCAAGCGACUGUUUACCAAAAACAUAGGUUUCUGCUAAGUCGCAAGACGAUGUAUAGGAGCUGACGCCUGCCCGGUGCUGGAAGGUUAAGGGGAUCUGUUAGAGCAAUCGAAGCAGUGAACUUAAGCCCCAGUAAACGGCGGCCGUAACUAUAACGGUCCUAAGGUAGCGAAAUUCCUUGUCGGGUAAGUUCCGACCCGCACGAAAGGCGUAACGAUUUGGGCACUGUCUCAACAACAGACUCGGUGAAAUUGUAAUACCGGUGAAGAUGCCGGUUACCUGCGACAGGACGGAAAGACCCCAUGGAGCUUUACUGUAGCUUGACAUUGAGUCUCGGUGCUACAUGUACAGGAUAGGUGGGAGACUAUGAAGCAUGGACGUCAGUCUGUGUGGAGUCAUCCUUGGGAUACCACCCUUGUAGUACUGGGAUUCUAACCAGAGGCCAUGAAUCUGGUCUUGGGACACUGUCAGGUGGACAGUUUGACUGGGGCGGUCGCCUCCCAAAAAGUAACGGAGGCGCUCAAAGGUUCUCUCAGUACGGUCGGAAAUCGUACGAAGAGUGUAAAGGCAAAAGAGAGCUUGAUUGCAAGACAUACAGGUCGAGCAAGGACGAAAGUCGGACUUAGUGAUCCGGUGGUUCCGCAUGGAAGGGCCAUCGCUCAACGGAUAAAAGCUACCCUGGGGAUAACAGGCUGAUCUCCCCCAAGAGUCCACAUCGACGGGGAGGUUUGGCACCUCGAUGUCGGCUCAUCACAUCCUGGGGCUGUAGUAGGUCCCAAGGGUUGGGCUGUUCGCCCAUUAAAGUGGUACGCGAGCUGGGUUCAGAACGUCGUGAGACAGUUCGGUCCCUAUCCGUCGCAGGCGUAGGAAAUUUGAGGAGACCUGUCCUUAGUACGAGAGGACCGGGAUGGACGUACCGCUGGUGUACCAGUUGUUCUGCCAAGGGCAUGGCUGGGUAGCUAAGUACGGAAAGGAUAAGCGCUGAAAGCAUCUAAGCGCGAAGCCCACUUCAAGAUAAGAUUUCCCACCGCAAGGUUAAGAUCCCAGGAAGACUACCUGGUUGA